rnacentral:misc_RNA from 1 species
AAGUCGUAACAAGGUUUCCGUAGGUGAACCUGCGGAAGGAUCAUUGUCGUAACCUGCGAAAGCAAAAAACGACUCGCGAACACGUAGUUACAAUCGGGGAUCCAAGCGCGUCUCCCUAGGGGUACGCUAUUGUUUCCCAACGUCGGGAUGGCUAGGCGUUUGCCGCUCGUCGGCGAAGUAUUCGUCGUGAGUUGGCAUUUCUCCUCGCUUUGCCCGACGCACAACAAAAACCCGGCGCGAAAUGCGCCAAGGAAUAUAAAAGAGAGCGCACUCUUUCGGUGCUAGCUUGCGCUGCACUCGGACGGGUGCCGUCUUCUUGAUGAGUUUAUAAUGACUCUCGGCAACGGAUAUCUCGGCUCUUACAUCGAUGAAGAACGUAGCAAAAUGCGAUACUUGGUGUGAAUUGCAGAAUCCCGUGAACCAUCGAGUCUUUGAACGCAAGUUGCGCCCGAACCCUUCGGGUUGAGGGCACGUCUGCCUGGGCGUCACGUACGCAUGUCUCUCACAACCCUUCGCCCCUUGCGGACGUAGGGCUUCGUGCGAGCAGAGAUUGGUAUCCCGUGCUCUCGAGGCGCGGCUUACCUAAAAAAAGAGAGCCAGUGACAAAGCGUCACGUCUAGUGGUGGUUAAUGUGCCUUUACGGCCGACCAGUUCGCGGCGUGAAUGCUUGUCKCUUGGAAAGCUCGAUCGACACCUUGAGCAUCGUCAAAUCGGUGUGCUACUGUCGCGACCCCAGGUCAGGCGGGACUACCCGCUGAAUUUAAGCAUAUCAAUA